ensembl:lncRNA
AGUAUGUAAUUAAAAGUGUAGAAAACAGAAAUCUCCCAUCACAAUUUAGAUUCACUUGGAAACACUCAUGGCCAGAUACCUUUCUUCUGUUCAAAAAAACUCCAAAAACACUCGAUCUAAUAAAGACAUUUUCAUUAAGGGAAUUGGAAGGAACAUCACACCUGAAAAUGAAUAAUUGUCUGGUUUAAAAAAUAUAUAUUUAGGUUUCCAUGCUGCCAUCAGAUUCUUCCUCCCUUCUAAUUUGCUCUGCACUUCUGUGGAAUAAAAAUGUGCCAAUAAUUCCAAUAAUUGCUCUGGAGCAACCCUUUCACAUCCAGAAACAGUUUCCCUCCUCAAUUCCAUUUCAGCCAUAUGGGCUGGUGGCAACCACUGCUUAGUGUGUGCCACCAGCCUUUUCUUUGCCAUGGCAAAGGCCCAACACACUAAUGAAAAUGAGACAGUCCGGUGUGUACUUGAAGGUGCUAAGCCAAACAUCUUCCAUUUCUGAAGGGACAAAGUAUAUCUUUCCCAAGCUCUUCUCUAGGGAAAGCAAUCCACUGGUAUUCGUGGGGAAAACUGCAGUUGUUAAGGUCUAUUUCAACAGUGACAACAGUUAGUAGUAGUAGCACUAAUUAUUUACAUAAUUACUUGUGUUACCUGUAUUGAAGAAUUUUUUAAUCUGGACACAGUAAAAGUCACAACGGAGUCUGAUAAUUACACUGAUUAACUCUGUUUCCAAGACUCUGAGAUCAAACACUCAUCAGGGUAUUACGAGUACAUUUGAUGUUGGAUCAAAUUAAAUCUAACAGUGGGGUGGUUCUUUGUUUGACUUCAAUUUCUUGGAAAGAGCUGGAGACAGUCUGUUCUGUGUGUGUGGGAGGGGAUAUGUUUCCCUGUUAUCCUUGUUUGAGCAGGGUUCUGAGUUUUCUUAUAUUUGUCUACACAUACAAUUGAAGUCAUGGAUUAUCGUAGAGUUAGUAGAUAUACCAUUCCUGGCCACUAGAUGGAGGUAGGUAACAAAAAUGAG